AGCGAAUCUUCUCAAAUCGCACCGAGAGCAAAAAUCCCCUGAUUCCCUGACUUAAACCUCAAUUUAUCUUCUCCAUUUUUGUGAAUUCUCCAAAUAAAGAUCAACAAAUUGUUAACAAUGACAAAGACAUACGCAACAAAAAAGAAGGAAUGUGUAAAAAGGAUAAGCUCAGAGUUUUCAUUGCUAAGAAAUGGAGGGAGAAUGAGAAGAAGUGUUGCGUGUGUAACAGCGUGGUUUCCAAUCUUUCUAAGCUCCCUUCACACAUUGAAGAUCAUAUUGACAGGUAUUAAUAAAAAUCAUUUAUUAAUGUGUUAAGGUAGCUUAGAAAGACUGGCAACCACGUUGUCAGGAGAACAACUAGCAUUUCUGUUCAUUAGGAUUAGGGUUACACUUCUAUAUUAUUCCCUUGCUAUUAUCCUUUGGAGGAAGAAAGAGUUAAGCAAAGAAUAAUAUUCUCCUGACCUUAAGCGAGAUGAACAGAAAUGCUAGUUGUUCACCUGACCUUAAGCGAGAUGAGUAUCUGCAUCUACAGCAAACCAGAUUUUCAAUCUGCACAAGUAUAGCAGUGCAGAACCUUAUGAGUGACUCCUACUUGGCUUAAACCAGGCCACCUUCCUACUUGGAUGAAUCACAGGAUUAUCACCACCACCACUAAUAUCUGUUGCUGCUUGUCUAGUUUGCUUUUUGUAUGAACUGAAUGAAUUUAGUCUUGACAGUUUAGAAAAGUAUAGAGAAUGCUAGAGUUGGGAAGGAUGGCUAUUGCAGUGUGAAGUAAUAAUGCACAGUUUAAUGUCACCACUACCAUUUUUGGUGACCUAAACAACCUGUUGAAGUAAAUUUAAUGAGCAAGCAGAAAUUGAAAGAGAGAGAAAAACAGAGGAAGGAGUUCAAGAAGAUAAUGAGUUUGAAGAGUACCAGUUCUUGUAUGAUUGUUGUUGGAUAGCAUCAACUUUAUCUUUCGCAGUGCGUAUUACCAUUGUGGCGAUAUUGUCGCCGGAUACCCGAUCAAACACGUACGGGUUCAUUCUUGUUAUGAAACUCCUCCUCUGUAUGAUAAUAGUUUCGUGAGCAACCUCUUCCUGCUCUCUUCUUA